rnacentral:rRNA from 1 species
UACGAAGGUGGCAAGCGUUGUUCGGAUUUACUGGGCGUACAGGGAGCGUAGGCGGUUGGAUAAGCCCUCCGUGAAAUCUCCAGGCUUAACCUGGAAAGUGCAGAGGGGACUGUUCAGCUAGAGGAUGGGAGAGGAGCGCGGAAUUCCCGGUGUAGCGGUGAAAUGCGUAGAGAUCGGGAGGAAGGCCGGUGGCGAAGGCGGCUCUCUGGAACGGUACUGACGCUGAGACGCGAAAGCGUGGGGAGCGAACAGG